UUUCUAAUUACAUAAAGUUGUUACUUUUUUAUUCAAACUCGACCCCUACAAUAUGUUUUAUUCAUUGAAAUAUAUGUAAUGAAUUAAUGACCCAAUGUUUGCGUUCACACACAGCAAUCACUUUGGAACUAGUACUAGUUACCCUUGGAAAGAAAACCUCUUGUUGACAUAGUCGUGGCCAAAUUGCUAUGCCGGCUGCCUGAAAUGACAACGAGCAAGGCGUUCUUUGACAUUAGAAUUUGACCAUUGCAAAUCGUCCCACCAAUCUUUAUCCACUUCAAUGCUCUGAAGCCCCAUUGCACUGCUCAUAUCAAAGGGCAAUUCUUUUAGUGUGGGACAAUCUUGUAUCUUUAAGGUCUCCAAUGAAGUCCAAGCUAGUCUGGUGCUUAUCUUUCUUAAACUUGGCAUAUUACAAAGAAUCAGUGCUCUUAGUUUUGGGAAAGCGCAUGAGCUAACAUCCUGAGAACACAUAACAAUCUCUUCAACCCUACAACAGUCUUGAACUUCUAGAUGUUGGAGUUCUCGAAGUUGCUGAACUAUAGCAUUGCAAAAUACCAUAGUCAUCACUGGACAGUUACAUAGAACCAAAAUCUUCAGUUUGGAUAGGCUUCCCGGUUGCACAUGGCCCUCCCAUAUUCUUUCCAGUUUAGGCAUGUGAAUUGCAUCCAACCUUUCCAAAUUAGGCAAUAAUGAUUCGUUUUGUGU
rnacentral:lncRNA from 1 species